ensembl:lncRNA
AGUGGAGCAAUAUCAGAAAGGAGUUUCUCAGAGGAAAAUUGCAAAGAGUUUGAAGUUAUCAUCAUCUACAUUGCAUAAUAUCAUCCAAAGUGUUCGGUUCUUUGGAUCACUAGGAAAAAUAUAUUGGUAAAAUUCAUGGUUAUAAAAAAGUCUGCUUAAAAUAUUGGGAAUAGUAGGAUUUAUACAAGCGAAUUAUAUUUAUUUCACAAUGAUUAGUUUGUUGCGUGAUGGUCACUUAGGUGUGAGCAUGCGCAGUUACGCUAUAAGCUUUAUAAAAAACGUAGAAAGCAUUGUUGGCUUACCACCCAUCAUCAUCAGGAGCACACAGCCUGUUGGUAUGUAGCGAAUUUAGAAUCUUUUUGAAAUGUUUACCAUGAGUUACGGUUUGCUGUACUUUAAUUUAGGAAUGUUUAAACUUUCGUACUUGUGUAAUUGUCGUCAUUGGCUGUGCUUAGUCCGUGCUGAGAGACUUAAUUUAUAGUAAAGUUAGCGCGUGUACUGUUCAGUUCUCUCGGUUUGUGAUAUGUUCGAACACUGGAUAAUUAACAAAUUACCAAGUAAACUAGUGUAGCGGACGGUGUUGCAUUCAUUUGGUGGAGCAUUAAAUUGAAGCGUUGUAAUGAUUAAUACACUUUGCCGGCUGACUCGUGUGAUAGUUAUACUCUGUGCAGGAGCGCUGCUAUGCAUGAUGGGAAAUGUAGUUUCUGCGGUGUUCUGAUGCAGCUGUGUAAGACUGAAUAGGAGAUUAUAUGAUGGUGUAUUCUUAUUUACAGCAGAAAUAGUCUAGUUAUUUUAUUGUAACUACUUCAUGUUUGCUUGUUUGCAUUAUAUAUUAAAUGGACAUAUUUGUAAUGCUGUUUAUUUCUUAUUUCAGGUUUAUGACCUGUGGUCAGUUGUAUAAAUAAAACAAAAUACAAGAUUAAUGACAAACACGAGUCGUGCCAUGUGUGCUACCUGUCACUAGCCUAUUCGGAUGGCUGAGAAUUUAAAAAGAUCCGAACAGUCAUAAACCACUUCCAGGCCUGCCAUUGUGGCCUUGUUCUGAAGCCAAGACAAAGCCUAAAGAAGAAGAAAAAAAAAUAAAUAAAUCAGUGACUGGUUACCUUAUCUAGUUAAGUUAAAAGCCCAUUUAUACUGCCUAUUCACUUGCUAGUGCAAAUCUAAGAAGAAAGCAAAUUAACAAGAUGGCAGAAAAGGAGAAAACAGAGAGGUUACGGCAGAAGCGUUCAGCAGCCCAGACUGCGUUCACUAAAAGAGCCAACCAUCUCACCUCCAGGGCCAAGGCGCUAGAAGAGAGGGAUCUAAAGGCUGAGUGGAGAGAGUUAAAAGGAGAUCAUUCCAGAGUGGAAGAUGCAGGAUUUGAGUAUGCUAUGGCCCUACGAGAAUUAGAAGAUGAAGAGGCCACAAAAAAGGCAGAUCAGGUUGACGAGAAAACAUUGGAGUGCGAUCACAAGUUUGAUGCAGUUAAACACCUCAUCCAAAACAGCUUCUGGACCAGAUUUGCUGAGGAGCAGAUUUCCACCCUCUUAAACGAGGCUAACUCAGCCCUGGAUCAGGCCGAAGCAACUGACCAUCUGCAGCUGUCUAGGAAGGAGUGUGAACUGAUAAAUAGAAACUUAGAACGAGAGGUCUGUGAAGUCAACAGUCUAGUGACUGAGUGGACAAAAAUGAUCCCUCAUGCAGUGUUAACGGAAUCUAGAGACCGUUGCAGGAUAAUGAGAAAGCGACAAGAGAGACUGUGGGAUAAGUGGGCAUGGCGGCGCAGUACUUGGUCUGAUGAUGAAGAGGAGCAGAAAGUUACUGGGAAGAACGAUGACGACGAGGAAAGUCAGACCGGUAAGCAAGCUGUGUCUAUUAGUACUUCUCCCAACCGUAAACUGUCCUUUCCCGUAGAUGAUCAUAUCCCUAUAAGUGAAGUUCAACAUAACCCACCCAUCGUUCCCACCUAUCCUAGUUAUGGUGGACCUCCAAAUGCUAUAAGUACGCAAUUGCAAGUCCAAGGUGCUCCCAACAUGUACUCAGGGCCAUAUCAUUUCAAGCCCCAAAUCAUGCUGGAACGUGCACGUCUGCCUACAUUCUCUGGUAACAUGAGAGAUUACUACCGUUGGAAAGCUGAAUGGGAGGACCUUCAGCAGCUGGGGAACCCACAUGGUUUGGGUUCUCAUCUUAUAGGAAGUUUAGACGACAAAGUCAAAAGAGACCUCGUCUUGUCCAGCUGUGGAUCUGCCACUGAUGUGUUCCGGCUCCUGGACAAUAAAUAUGGAAACAAGCCGAAAAUAGUGCUACUUAUCUCGAAAGAAGUACAUGGCCUACCGCCUGUAAGGGGAAAUAGCCCUAGAAAGACGAUCAAAUUAAUUCAAGCUGUGGAAAGAGCUCUUCGUGACCUCCAAGUUCUGGGGGAAGAAGAUGCUGUGAAAAAUCGGUUAGUAGCACAGUCGAUUGAGAGUAAGUUACCAGACUCUCUGAAAGAAAAGUGGUUAACUCAUAAGAAUGACUCUGCAAGCGGGUUUUCACCCAGAAAUCAUUUUGAUUGUCUAAUGGAGUACCUGAAAAAACAGGAGGACAUUCUUGAAGAGUUAGAUCAACUGCAGCCUAGCUCAAAAGACUAUACUGAGAGGUCACAGGAAAAGAGUAGAGAAAGGAAGGUAUUUACCAGGGCUACAUCUAUCCAAAAGGGCUCUCAACCUAGCUUGUGCAUAAACUGUGGGGACGAAGGGCAUGCAGGUAGAUUGUUUGCUUGCAAAGUCUUCAGGAAACUCAAUCUGUCAGGCAAGAAAGCUCAGUUAAAGAAGUCAGGGGUAUGCCUCAAAUGUUUGCGCAUCCAUAAAGAGGACGGCUACUGUACUGGAAGGUUUCUAUGCUCCAAAGAAGACUGUCAGAAAGCAGGGUCCUCAGACCACAACUACUUACUCUGCCCGUUACCACAGAUGAAAAGGAGCGAUAAAAAGAAUGAAGAGCAAUGCAAAGUGAGAGUGGAGAAUAAGAGACUUGGAUUGACAGACAAACAAGAGGAGGUUCUUUCCAAACUCUCUCCAGAGCUGAAAGCAGAGGUCAAAGAAGCUUUCUCAAAUAAGAUUUCAACAACAGUGUGCACUAGUUCUGACGGUGAGCCAAUUGAGUACCCCGUAGUAAUGAUGCUACUCUCCGUGACGACUAACUCGGGCCAGCUAAUCGGUACACUCAUCGAUCUUGCUUCAGAUACCAAUUAUAUCUCAAAUGAAGCCGCUGAGCGUCUUAAGCUAAAAGGCGAAAACAUCAAGCUGAUUGUGCAAGGAGUUGGAGGAAUGGAGAAAAUAAUUGCUACCAAAAGGUAUACUCUGAGACUAAGAGUAAAAACACAGAAGGGUACAGUGGCGGAGCACAGGCUCCUAUGUUAUGGCCUGGAGAACAUUGCAAAAGUGAACCAAGCAGUCACAGCACAGCAUCUACUGAAAUUCUUUCCUAACAUUGCCGCUCAUGAUUUGGUCCGUCCAGAGAAGAUCGACCUACUAAUAAGUCAUAGGGAAGGUCGCCUGGUCCCACAGCCAAUCAAGAUGGUAGGAGACCUCGUUCUCUGGGACGGUCCUCUGGGAAUAACGGUCGGUGGAGCUCAUCCUGACCUCUUCGAGAAGGUAGACUUAGCUGUGCACAGGUCCGAAACUCAUUUUGCACAUUCAAUGAGAUCAGCUUUGAAGGCUUAUAAAGAAGUCCUUGUUGACCCAACUGAACUUGCUAAAGUGGUUAAUGGAGAAACAGUCCUCAGGAGUACUGCGGUCACCAAUAAAGAAAUGUUUGAUUGGUUCAAGUGGGACAGUGUCGGCGCUGCCUGCAAUCCUCAAUGUGGCGGCUGCAAAUGCGGUAGAUGUCCCCCUGGUGGUAAAGAAAUGACACUAGGAGAGGAAAGAGAGAUAGAAAAUAUAAAAAAAUGCCUCACCUAUGUGCGAGUAGACAAGCACAGCAAGUUUCCUCAUUGGGACGCAUCUUAUCCGUGGAAAGGAGACCCUGUGAAACUGCCGGAUAACCGACGUGCAGUGGAGGCAACUUUCCUCAAUACUGAGAAACGCCUCGAGAGGGAGCCUGAGUGGAAGGCUGCGUAUAGGGAGCAAAUCCACGAGAUGAUCUCAAGGGGAGCUGCCACCAAACUCACUCAAGAAGAACUUGAUAGCUGGAAGGGGCCGAAGUGGUACAUCAGUCAUUUAUUCGCACCCAAUCCACACUCAUCCUCUACCCCUGUAAGAAUUGUAUGGAACAGCAGCCAAGAGUUCCGCGGGGUGAGUUUGAAUGACCUUUUGUACAAGGGCCCAGACGUCCUCAAUCAGAUUAGAGGAGUCCUUCUAAGAUUCAGGACUGGAUUGUACGCCGCCUUAGGUGAUGUGAAGAAAAUGUAUAAUUCUGUCUGGCUUAAAGACAAAGAAGUUCAUCUCCAUCGAUUCCUCUGGAGAAACAACCCAGAGGAUGAGAUUCAAACCUUCGCUGUCGUCAGAGUUAACAUCGGGGAUAAACCUGCUGGCUGCAUUGCCCAGGUCGCUAUGAGGGAGACUGCUAAUCUUCCACAGUUUGCAGCCAUGGUUGAAGAACGCCGUGUUCUGGUAGAAGACUGCUAUGUCGAUGACAUAUUAACAUCCCAUAAUGACAUCAAAACACUGGAAAAGAUCACCAAUGGAGUUGAAAAGAUCUUGGAGGCUGGGAGCUUCUCCUUAAAACCGUGGGUUUUGACAGGCCAAAGUGGGAGGUUAGAAACUGUAGCUAACUUCAGUAACAGUGAGACAACAAUGUCUGCGCCUAAGACUCUGGUGUUGCCUAAUCAGAUGCGAGACGAAGACAGUAAAGCGCUGGGUGUCGGUUACGAACCUGAGACCAACAAACUUCGAGUAUUGACGUCCAUCAAUUUCUCAAAGAAGCGAGGUAAGAUGAGGACGGGAAUCGAUUUGAAGGAAGAUGAAGUAAGAGGUGGAACUCCGAACCCCUUAACUCGGCGAGUACUUCUAAGUCAGGUCGCUGGGUUCUAUGACCCUAUCGGUCUUGGCACUCCAGCAAAGCAGAAAGGAGUAAUGCUCGUAAGGGAAUCCUACCAAGAAGCAAGUAUAGGUAAUCCAACUAAAGAUACGUGGGAUGACCCACUGUCGCAAAAACUCCGGGAGGCUGCUAUUAGACUCUUUGAAGAGUAUGUGAGACUUGGCAAGAUAAAGUUCGAAAGAAGUCUCACACCCUUUGGAGCCAUAGGCCGCCCUAUGGGUGUCACGUUUUCGGAUGGGAGCGAGGCUUCCUACGGCGCCGUGCUUUAUCUCCGCUGGGAAACGCAAGAAGGAGUUGUUGUGAGGUUUGUUGAAUCGAAAGCCAAACUCACUCCCCUCAACCAGAAAGGGGAUGUGAUCAAGGCAGAGUUAUGUGGUGCUGUCUUUGCGACCCGGCUAAAAAGGUACUUUGAGAAGCACUGCCGCCUUGAGGUCAAAUGCUGGGUCCACUUUGUGGAUAGUCUAACUAUCUUAGGGGCAAUCCAGAAGGAAAGUUAUGGCUACCAAACAUUCUUCUCCAACCGAAUCGGUGAAAUACAGAUGGCUGGGCCAGUGGAUGACUGGAGGUGGGUGGACGGUUACCUUAACAUCUCUGACAUCGUCACUAGGGGAGCAACUCCUGAAGAGCUCGAUGAAGAGUCAGAAUGGCAACAAGGCCCCGAAUUCCUAAAAAAACUUGAGGCUGAAUGGCCUGUGAAGAUGGCCAAUGAAAUUGUGAUUAAAGUUGCUGAUAAGGUAAAAAAGUUACAAAGGAAAGCAUUCUCAGCUGUAACCACCAGAGUUCAAUCGCAAAAGAUUGUAAAACCCUGCAGCACUGAUAAUGGCGUUAACGUGGGGAUUAAUAAAUUACAACCACUGCCAAAGGACCAAGGUCCAACUCAAACAGUAGAAAGGCAGAGAAGGAAACUUUGGGGUGUGGCUUUUGUGCGCCUGGUGGAGCCCAAGCGGUUCAGUAGCUUGUCAAAACUAUGUGGAACUGUUGCUUGGGUUCGACGAGCUGUAGAAGCUUGGCUAUGUGUAAAGGACCGAGCCUUGAAUUUAGCAAAGUGGGAGGCAAAGAGUUCUAAGCUGUCUGUAGAAGAGAGAACAGUUGCUUUCCAAGAUUUAGCCCUUGCGGCCCAGGACGGCUUGAACUUUAAGACUACAGCCUUGAACUGCCUAGUGGUAAACAAAGAUGAAAACACGGGACUUUUGCUUUGUGGUGGUAGAGUACAAUCUUGGAGUGAAGACGGUAGAGCGGUACCGUUGAUUCCUUUCCAGUCAUGGUUGGGGACUUUGCUGGCUAGAGAAGCUCACGAGGCCAAUCAUGAAGGUGUUGCUGCUUCACUGCUACGUACGAGAAGAAAAGCUUGGGUCAUAGAAGGCCGAAGGAUAGUCAAGAAGAUUAUUAACGAGUGCGUUACUUGCAAAAAGCUAAGAGCAAAGUUAUGCCAACAAGUAAUGAGCGACCUUCCUCAUGAGCGUUCUAGCAGAGCAAACCCUUUUGAGUAUACCACAUUGGACCUUUUCGGUCCUUUUGAGGUCAGAGAUGCAGUAAAGAAACGGACCAAGAAAAAGGUUUGGGGAAUUGUAUAUUGUUGCAUGGCUUCCAGAGCCAUCCAUGCGGACCUCGUUGACGACUUGUCUGCCGAGAGCUUUCUUCAAGCCUACUCCAGAUUCACUGCCCUUAGGGGGCACCCUCGGAAGUUAUGGUCCGACAGAGGCACAAAUUUCGUGGGUGCCAAGUCUGCUCUGAGAGAUCUACACAAGCACUUAGCAAGCUUACAGAAGGUGGCUGUUGAGAACAUAGCGGCGAAAAAUGGAACUGAAUGGCAGUGGGACUUUCAUCCUGCGGACUCGCCCCACAGAAAUGGAGCGGCCGAGGCAGCUGUCAAACUUAUUAAAAGAGCUCUCAAUAGCCUUGGCAGAACAACCGGCAGCUACAACUGGGGGGAGUUCCAAACUCUUCUCUACUCAGCAGCCAACCUAACUAACGAACGACCCAUUGACGCCAAAGCGCAAGAACAAGAGGAUACAGUUGAGUACUUGACUCCUAACUCCCUCAUCCUGGGACGCACCGGACAAAGAGGAGAUAUGCACAGUAUCAAUUUUGGAAACUCACUCUUGGCGUAGGCUGAGGGCUGUUCAAGCGGGAGUUGACAAAUUCUGGUCAAAGUGGAGUGAACUUGCGAGACCAAACUUGUUUAUCCGGCAUAAGUGGCACAGAGUGGAAAGAAGUGUCCAAGUUGGAGAUCUAGUUUGGAUAGCAGACCAGAAUGCCCUGAGAGGACAGUUCCGGCUCGGUCGAAUUGUCGUCACCUAUCCAGACAAGUCUGGAGUGGUCCGAGAUGUUGAUGUGGCGACCUGUAUAGGCCUUCCUGCCUCCCUUGCUGCCAGGACCCAGGCAAAAGAUUCUAUCUUACCUUCUACUAUCGUCCUUCGCAGGGAUGUACGGAGACUGGUUGUGCUGAUUCCUGUUGAAGACCAGCGCAAAGUAUAAAGUCCUUACCAUAUGGGUACCCAAGAGACAUUUGUUAGUUAGUGGGUAACCCUGGGAGGCGGCUGAGUGGUUCAAGGGCAAACUUACACUCAGUAGGAGGCAAGGUGGUGGGGCCUACCUCCUUAGUGAGUCCUUUUGAGUAAAUGGUAACAUUGGAAAGCAUUUUGUUAAUUCUGUAUGCUACAAAACUUGACUGUUGUUAAGUUGUUGUUUCUACUGAAAGUGGCUUUGUAGUGGCCUCCUUUNNNNNNNNNNNNNNNNNNNNNNNNNNNNNNNNNNNNNNNNNNNNNNNNNNNNNNNNNNNNNNNCUCCAUUUGCGCUCAAGACUACG